UCGGUUUGGAACUUAGGCUCCCUUGCACGCGGGGCGGCAGCAUGCUCUGGGCUCCCUGAGUUGCUAGAACGCCGUGGAUGACGCAGGGAAGGAGGCUGGCCCCGCUAUCAGGGAGAUUAUGUCCUAGUGGGGUCCCCACAGGCAAUUAACUGAUAAGCAAACGAAGACUCUCAUUUCAUGUGAUUAGUGCUGUAAGGAAAACAAAACAGGAUAAUGCAAUGGAAAGUGACCACGUGUGGGCUAUUUUAAAUAAGGGGAUGAAGGAAGGCCUUUCUCAGGGGGUAAUAGUUGAGCUGAGACCAGACAAGAUUUAGGGAAUGCUGUUCCAGCCAGAGGGAUGUUGGAUAUGACAAGAAUGACCCAAUUCGUAUGAUCAGCUUUCAGAAUGGAUGAAGAUCUUUCACAGAGUGUGACUUCAAUUUAUCUCCAGCCUCAUCUGACGACUCUAUGUCCCACGCAUUGCUAUCUACACACACUAAAUUCUUGCUUCCUAGCCUUUGCUUGUUAUCUCCUUCUCCUGGAUUUUUUUUUCUAAAUACUUUUUCUCCUGCCUAAUCCUGAAUUAACUUAUAACAUUCCAUUCAAACAUCAUCUUCUCUGAAAGCCUUUCCUGCUUCCAGCCCCCUCCCCACCCCCCACUAUGCUCCCUUUGCUCCCUAUUGGUCUCUAGCUUUAUCCCUAACUUUGCAUUAGUCACCCUUUGAUUGCCAGUUUGUAGUUUUCCUUAAACACUGCGAGGUCUUUAAUGGCAGGAAGUGGGUCCUUUUUAUCUUUGUUUAUCCAAGACCCUAAUAGGGUCUGGCAUCCAAUAAAAGUCAUUGAUUGAUAAAGAUCUAGUCUCUACCUUCAGGAAUUCAGUUAUAAUGAUCUGCAUACACUUAACUCCACCAGACUAUAAGCUUUC
rnacentral:lncRNA from 10 species